GCGCUAUGGAAUACAUUGACUAGAAGCCAAAAUCUAAAUAAUCAUCAUUUAUUUAUAUGGUACCAGCUUUUAUUUUACCACUGGUUGACUGUACGACAAGGAGCAUUAGCAAAAGUUAAGUGGAAGAAACAGACAGUAGGCUUUAAUAUUCCUUACUGAAAACUUGCAGUCAGAAUAAGUAGCACAUAAUCUCUCCGCACGCACAUUUGUGUCUAAUAUUAUACCCCUCCCUCUUUUUUUGCAAAAUGCUUUGCUUUUUAAAAAAUUAUAACUGCUGGAUAAAAU